rnacentral:rRNA from 1 species
ACCAUGGAGAGGUUGAUCAAGGCUCAGGAUGAACGCUGGCGGUAUGCUUUACACAUGCAAGUCG